GAUGAACGCUAGCGGCAGGCUUAAUACAUGCAAGUCGAGGGGUAACAGGUCUGUAGCAAUACAGAUGCUGACGACCGGCAAACGGGUGCGGAACACGUACAGAACCUUCCUUCGAGUGGGAGAUAGCCCAGGGAAACUUGGAGUAAUAUCCCAUAGGAUCAUAGAGUGGCAUCACUUAGUGAUUAAAGAUUUAUCGCUUGAAGAUGGCUGUGCGGCUGAUUAGGUAGUUGGUGUAGGUAACGGCUCACCAAGCCUUCGAUCAGUAACUGGUGUGAGAGCACGACCAGUCACACGGGCACUGAGACACGGGCCCGACUCCUACGGGAGGCAGCAGUAAGGAAUAUUGGGCAAUGGAGGCAACUCUGACCCAGCCAUGCCGCGUGGAGGAUGAAGGUCCUCUGGAUUGUAAACUUCUUUUAUUUGGGAAGAAAUGCCGAUUUUCUAAUUGGUUUGACGGUACCAGAUGAAUAAGCACCGGCUAACUCCGUGCCAGCCGCCGCCAGUAAGAC
rnacentral:rRNA from 1 species